UACGAGUGCCCCAAGCGUUAUCCGGAAUCAUUGGGCGUAAAGGGUGUGUAGGCGGUUUGGUUAGUCUUCUGUGAAAUUCUUCGGCUCAACCGGGGGCUCGCAGAGGAAACGGCCAAACUUGAGGAUGUGAGAGGUGAAUGGAACUCAUGGUGUAGGGGUGAAAUCCGUUGAUAUCAUGGGGAACACCAAAAGCGAAGGCAAUUCACUGGCACAUUCCUGACGCUAAACACGAAA
rnacentral:rRNA from 1 species